rnacentral:ncRNA from 1 species
CGAGGGAUAUUGCCUGCGUGCAAGUUAGCAGCUCCUGUGGGAAACCGCAGGAUGAAAAGCGGGUAAAUUCAGGGAAACCCCGAAAUCUCGGGGCGAUCCUGAGCCAAGCCCUAAAUGGGAAGGUGCAGAGACUAGACACUCGCUACCUAAAAUUGAACGAAGUUCAAUUUUACCCCGAGCAAAGCGAGGGGUAAGUCGUUCGAUCAAGGUAAAGGUAUAGUCCGACUCUCGCAGUAAUGCGAGU